rnacentral:lncRNA from 1 species
CUUCCUGCUAGUGAAGCCGAUGCGCCACAGUUCCGCGUGGUGUUUUAAUGAGAGAGUGAGGAACGAUUGACCGCAUGGGAGAAGUAGUGAAACCAAACUUGGAAAAAAAAAGGGAAAUUAGGGAAUCCUUUUUUAGUUGGAUUUUGAGAUUAUCUAUCAGUUGAAAAAUUGAUUUUGCUUAAUCUUCAAGAGAGUGAUGUAAUUUUGCUAGCAAUUGUUCUCAUCCCUAUAACCUGUUGGGUAUCAGAUUGUUGUGUUUAAAAUUGUUGUUGUUUUGUUUUUGGGAGUUCUAUGUGACAUCUCACUGGUGUUUGCUAUAAAGACUCGAGUUCUUCCAUUUUCUUUUCUGAAGCUGCAUUGGAUGCUUUUGAACUAUAUAAUCUUAUGGGUUGUCAAAUAUUGAGCUUAGUUUUCCCUCGGUGCUUUUUUGGUAUAUUUUUCUUCCUGACAUUCUAUGAUCUGUUGACCAUAUUGCUCAUGGUGAAGGUAUAAUUUUUGCCCUGAAUGGAAACAUGGGAUGUGCAAUGAGUGAUUAACGAACUAAUUUUAGUGUUAGUUUUUGUUUGUGAGUUUGAAAACCAAUUACAUAGACUUGUGAUUGAAUGUGUGUUUGUUUUUUAAUGGUAAGAUUACAUAUGCAAAGCCAAGCUCUAACCAACUUAUAUGAAUGGCCAAAUGCAUAAAUAGAGUAUGCCACACUCUCAUACAUUGCAAAGUUUAAGUUAUUCACUUCUGAAAGUGGAAGGGGUAAAUAGGAUGAAAAUAAAGUUGAGGAGCUAAAAUAAGUUUUUGUGGAAACCUGAGGGGAUAUAUUAUGCAUUCAGCCAUAUGAAUUAACACAUUAGAAUAGUUGGUUUUGAGUCCCCUUUGCAUGCGUUUCAUAGGUAGGAACAAUAGGUCUAAGGCAGAUUUGAUUUUGAUUUAUGAUAUGAUGAUUUCUUCUAGUUGAAAAAUAUAAAUCUGCUGCACAGUAUAUCUGAGUAGCAGGACUGCAGAUGAGUUUGAAGAACUUUAUGGAAGAAAGGAGCAGAAGAGGAAAAGGCAAGGCAGACUGCAUGUUCACAGUAUGUCUGAAGUUGCAGGAUUGGGCCUUUAAAAAUUCAUUUCACUUUUGCUAUUUUGAUAUAGUUUUUUUUUUCUCCAUAUUAACUCAAACAACAAUUGAACAGGCACUCAACAAAUCAACCUACAUGAUGCAUUUCAUGAGCAUUUGCUUGUACUGGAUACGUCCAUUUACCUGUGGCCUUUUGAAAUUAGACUUUGGCUUCCCAUGAUAUAUUAUUAUUAUUAUCUUUGAAGUUGAAAGAUUUCUGACUGAAAUGAUGCGCACCUUCUUAUAAUAUAAUAGUUUGACAAAUUUUGAUGCAGAUCCUUGAUAUUGAAGUGUUUCCAGUUGUGAUUCAUAGCAUUUAGAGAAUAAAGUAUCCUCUGUUAUCAAACCAAUCAGUGAUGAUGCUACUGUACUUGCAUAAUUAACUAAAUGUGUCUUCUCUGUCUGCUAAGUGAUUGAGAUUCUUUUUCUGGCAAAACAGAGGUUCAAUUCUUUCUUUUGUUUUGAUGUUCUGUUGAAGAGGGCGGCAACUCAUUUUUAAUGCCAAGGCAUGGUUUUGCAGUAUUACACUCUUAUCUAUUGUAGGAUUCAUAUGUCAAAAAGAAGCCAAAAAAAGGAUGAAGAAGUAGAUGAAAGGGUUCUGGUCUGCAACAGUGUUAGUUGUAUAAAAAGUAAACAUAGCAGAAGCAUAGGUAUGCAUUCAUCUGUCCUAAAGUAAACGUUUUGAGCCAAAGAAGUGUGGAAAGUGAAUAGUCAUAGCAGUUAUUAGUGGGAUUUACUUGGGGAUUUUUUGGAUGAUGUUUUUCCAUGAUUAUGUAUUCUAUUGUUACAUAGAUAACCAUGUUUGAGACGAUUGUAUGAUUCUUGGUGAUUUUUCAUGGUUAUAUAACCAUGAAAGCUCACAUAUCCUUUAACCACCAAUUUGGUGUUUUUGCAUUGUUAUAUAAAAUUUGUUUUCUCUUUUUCCGUCAUAUAUUUUAUGUAUGAUCAAUUUACCUUUAAAAUAAUUAGUUAAACUAACUUUUCCAAUCUAAUAAUGACCCUUAUUAAUAUAUCACCAACUUUCGCCCUCCCUUGAUCAAACAUUUAAUAAUAUUUAAUAUAUAAAAUAUUAUUUUUAAAUAGACAGCUUUUUGUGUAUUGAAAUAAAUAUGAAAUGUGCAUUAAAAUAUGAAAAAUAAAGAAUUAGUGAUCAAAUUGCAUAUAAAAAUGAAUGAGAGUAUUCAAGUAAUUUAAUAAUUGUUUAAAACAAUACUAUACAAUUAAACCAAAGAAGGAGCAAUUAUAAAAUCAUGAUAAACUAUACUAUCUUUUCAAACAUUAUAAAGGACAAUACAUUAUACACCAUACAACAUACAAUGGAUACAAUAUUAUGAAAAUAUUAACAGAAUCAUGGGAAAACAUCAUCCAAACAGGGUCUCAGUGAAUAAACAUUAGUUUAAUUUUUGUUCUCUUACUUGUCAAUGUACUUGAUCUGCACGUAGUUUCUAAACUCUUUUACCCUCUGUUUAGAAUAAAAAAUUUGGUAAACAUUUAAUUUAAUUAAUUUUUUUAAUAAUUUUUUAUUUAUAAUGAAAGAAUUUAAUUAUUUUUCAUUUAAAUAAUUUAUUUUUAAAAAAAAUUAAAAUUUUACAUAAUUUUAUAAAAAUUUAUUUAAAUUAUUUUAUUACAAAAUGAAUAGUUGCCAAACAAAGAGUUAAAGAUUCUUCUAAGUGAAAAUUUGCCUUAGUUAUAAAAAACACUCUUAAUUGUGUUUUUUAGUAAAUGUUCUAUUUCUAUAUGUUAAUGAAAUCAUCAUGUCAUUCUUAAUUGUAUUUUUUAAUAGUUCGUCAUGUUUAUCAAAAAAAAUAUAUUAUAAAUAAUCGUUAUAUAUAUAAUAAUUUUAUUAUAGUUAUUGAUUAUAAAAGGUCUAUUGUAAGAUCACCCAAAUCAAUUAUCAAUAUUUUACUUUUGUAUAUACGACAGUCAUAUUAAAUCAUUUCUCCAACGACCAGUCAAGCAGGAAUUUUGUUGCAUCGCAUCAAGUGUCUUUUUUUUUUUUUUCUCUUCNNNNNNNNNNNNNNNNNNNNNNNNNNNNNNNNNNNNNNNNNNNNNNNNNNNNNNNNNNNNNNNNNNNNNNNNNNNNNNNNNNNNNNNNNNNNNNNNNNNNNNNNNNNNNNNNNNNNNNNNNNNNNNNNNNNNNNNNNNNNNNNNNNNNAAAAAAAAAAAAAAAAAGACGAGGAAUAAUGAAUAUUCAUUAACACUUUAUGUACAUGUUUAAUUCCAUUUCAAGUAACUAUUUUUUUUUUUUGGUUUAUCAUCAUCCUUCCUCUUUUUCUUCUUUCUCUUUUUCUUUUUUCUCAGUUCAUUUUCCUCUUCUUGUUCUCAUUUAUUCUCCCUAUGAUUGUAAUGUUGCCCAAUUUUUUGUUUUUAACGUUGUUGUCGACACAUUUGUUGUAUGCUAUUAUUGUUCUAUUUCUUUUUCUUUUUCAGUUUUAUGUUACUUAUGUAUUUGUAUUAUUAUAUUAAUUAAUUAAGUGAGAAUUCUUUUUUUUUUUUAAAUGAAUUAAGUGAGAAUUGUAGUUUAGAUAGCGCUCAUUUGCACUUUACGCCUAGACUUUAAACCCUUUUUACGCCUUAGUACUUGUAUCUCGAGCAUUUUACAACUAUGCUCAACUCUACUCUACUCUGUUAUUUUUAUAAUUGUAUCAGAUUUUUAUUUAUUAAAAAAUAUUUAUAUUUUGGUUUAUUUUCAUUAUUAGAAUAAUAUGUUAUUGUGAAAUAUAAUUUUUAUAAUUAUUUAAAUUUCAUGUAAAUUUAUAGUGCGUUAAAAAGAAUAAAAAGUUCUGUAUAUAAUGAUAUAAAGCGAUAAACAUGACUCAUACUAAACGUAGUUAUAUUCUCGAGAUUUCUAUUAAACGUCAAAAUUUUGAAAUUUAGGUAACAUGUUAAUUAUUUCAUGAAAUAUAAAUUUCAAAAAUAUUUCCAUGUUAAAAAUUUUAAAUAAAUUAACUAUUGAUUUAACAGUAAAAUAUUUUUUAAAAAAAAAAUCAGAGCUUUUUGAUCAGCAGAUUUCUAAAACACUAUCCAUCUUUCAUUAUUUUUUGAAAUUAAGCAUUUGUUUAUUUCAUAAAGAAAAUAUUUUCAUAUGUUUUGGUAUUUAAAAUAAUCAAAAAAUUUAGUAAAUAAAAAAUAUUUUCCCAUCGAAGAAAAAUUAAGUCAUUUUUCACAUGUUUCAAAUUUUUUUAAAAUUUUUAUAUAAAUUAAUUUAUAUAUUUUAUUUUAAAUUAAAUUUAAAAUGUAUUUAUUUAUAUAAAAUAAUUUAUUUAUAUUUAUUUUUCAUAAAAAAUAUUUUUUACAGAAUAUUUUUCAAUAAGAUAAUUUUAUAAUUUACUUUUUAUUAUUUAAUUUUAAUUUAUUAACAAAUUUAUAUAUAAAAGUCUUAAUAAAAAUUUUAAAACAUAAAAAAAUAACUUUUUAUUUUAAAUAAAAAAUUAUUUUUUUAAAAUGAUUUAAUUUUUCUGAGUGUUUUAAAUGUUAAAAAAUAUUAUAAAUAUUUUUUUAAUAAAUAUUUUUUAUGAAAUAAAUGAAGUUUUAAAUAAUGAAAAGUAAAUUAUUUUACUAGAAAAAAUUUUUAAAUAUAAAUUAUUUUCUACAAAUAAAUAAAAUUAAAAUUUUUUUUAUUAUUUUAUGCUCUUCAGUGGGAUUGUAUAUAAUUUUUAAAAUUUUUAAAUCGAAUUAAAAAUUUAUACUGAAUCAAGUUUUAACUGAAAAAAAAAAUUGAUAGUAUAGAAACUAAAUUAUAUUAAAUUUAUUUAGUUAUAUGAUUCUAAUUGUAAUUCUCAAUUAAAAAUAAUAUUGAAGUAGACUUUAAAAUUAAUUUUGUACAUAUAUUUUUUAAUCAUAUUAUAAUUCUAAUAUAUAUAGUUUCAAUAAUAUAUUUUAUAUAUUAUAAAAAUUCAAUAAAUUACACACACAUGUAUAUAAAAGAUUAUUAUAUUUACAGUGUUAUUUAAUCUUAAAUAUUGUUAACAUAUAAAUUAAUUAUACUUUCCAGUUCAAAAAAAAAUAAUUAAUAUAAAUAAAUUUAUAUUAAUUAAUAUAAUAUUUUAAAAAUAUAUAAAUAUAAUAAAUAUUUUUUUUGAAUUGGAAAUUGAAGAGAAAACUUGAUAUUUUUUAGAUUUAUUCAAAUGCACUUAUUAGUAUAAAUAUAAUAAAUAAUUUUUAAAAUUAUAAAAAUAAAGUUUUAUCAUUAAAAAAUAUUUAUAUUAUAAAAAUAAUAUUAUAUUAGAUAACAAUUUAUUUAACUCUUAAGUGAUAAUAUAAAAUUUUAAAUUAAAAUUAUUUAAUUUUUAAAUAAAAAUACAUGAAUUUAAUUAAACUUAAUCUUAAAUUAAAAAACUCAACAUUCUAUUGGAAGUGUAGCGGUGGAAUGUAUGCCAAUAUUUAAUGGUGCACUCUAAUCAUUCAUUAAGUGUCCAAUUUAAUUUGAAUAUUUAGUCCGUUUUAUAAUUUUUUUAUUUUUAUUAUUUAUAUAUAUUAAAAAAUAUAUUUUUUAAAUUAAUUUUUUAAUUACAUAAAUUUUAAAUAUAUUAUAUUUUAUUAAAUAUUACGAUAUAUUUUUAAAAAAAUUAAUAUGUAAAAAUAUCACAAUACAAAAUAAAUAAAAAAUUUAAAAUAUGUAAAAAGAGAUAAUUUUGUUAAUAUAUUAUGUAACAUUUUUUUUUUUUUUUAUGUUGUGAUAUAUGAUUUUUGUUAAGUAGAGGUUUUUAUAUGAAAAAAAAUAAUAAAUUAAAAAUGAGGGACUAAAAUAUAAUAAUUUUCACAAAUGAGGGAGGGCGGAGAAAAAUCUCCACCUAUAGAAUUUUGUGAUUUCAUAUAAAAUAAUAAUCAAAUAGCUGAUUGACACGUAUGUUUGAGGCACCGCAGAUAUAUAACCAACAAAUUAUUUUAAAAAAUAUAUAUAUGCAUUUCAAUUUAUUUUUUAAUUAAAAUAUUUAUGUUUUUUUAUUAAAAUAUAAGAUUUUAAUUUGUUAGACUAUAAUUAGCUUAACCAUUCUAUCUAAAAGAAAAUAAUAGUGAAAUGUGAGAUGUCCUUUCUAUUUAAAUCUUAGAAUUCUAAGUAUAAAUUUUUAUAAUUAUUUAUAUAAAUAUUAAUAAGUACCUAAAUUCUUAAAAAUACACUGUAGAUGAACGGCUGACAUUGAUAAAAGAGAAGUCCAAUCAAUUUCAUAAGAUGGAUGUAAAUUGAAAUCCUCAAAAUCAACAUUCAAAAGUGUUUCUUUGAAAUUUAAAACAGUGAAACCUAACAAAGGAGAUAGUAUCUCAAUCUUCUAAUAUUUAUCUAUGAUAACUUUUUAUUGUGAAUCAGCUUCCUUAGCCGCCAUUGGCCUGGUCGUUCCCACUUGGGCUUUCUUCUUGUUCGAUGAAUUUAAUUAAUUCUCAGCUUUUCCUCUUUAUUUUUGUAAUUUCGCUAAAUUUUGACAAAUUGCUUGCAGUUUCACGUCAACUGAGAAAUAGAAACUUACCUUUAAUGUGAAACCCUGAUGGCAGGUUGAGGAAGUUGAGCUUUGCCAAGUCAUCCCAGCUCACUGCAUUGUCAAAAACCAAGGCUUUUCCUCAAUUGUGUUCAAAGUGUCAAGUC